rnacentral:tRNA from 1 species
ACCUGGGUGGCUCAGCCGGUUAAGCAUCUGACUUCGGCUCAGGUCAUGAUCUCACAGUUUGUGGGUUCGAGCCCCACGUCGGGCU